rnacentral:rRNA from 1 species
GAUGAACGCUGGCGGCGUGCUUAACACAUGCAAGUCGAACGGGAAACCUUUUAUUGAAGCUUCGGCAGAUUUCGCUGGUUUCUAGUGGCGGACGGGUGAGUAACGCGUGGGUAACCUGCCUUAUACAGGGGGAUAACAGUCAGAAAUGGCUGCUAAUACCGCAUAAGCGCACAGAGCUGCAUGGCUCAGUGUGAAAAACUCCGGUGGUAUAAGAUGGACCCGCGUUGGAUUAGCUGGUUGGUGGGGUAACGGCCCACCAAGGCGACGAUCCAUAGCCGGCCUGAGAGGGUGAGCGGCCACAUUGGGACUGAGACACGGCCCAGACUCCUACGGGAGGCAGCAGUGGGGAAUAUUGCACAAUGGGGGAAACCCUGAUGCAGCGACGCCGCGUGAAGGAAGAAGUAUCGCGGUAUGUAAACUUCUAUCAGCAGGGAAGAUAAUGACGGUACCUGACGAAGAAGCCCCGGCUAACUACGUG